GACGAACGCUGGCGGCGUGCUUAACACAUGCAAGUCGAGCGGUAAGGCUCCUUCGGGUGUACACGAGCGGCGAACGGGUGAGUAACACGUGAGUAAUCUGCCCUUCACUUCGGGAUAACCACCGGAAACGGUGGCUAAUACCGAAUACGACCAGUCUUCGCAUGAGGUGCUGGUGGAAAGUCUUUUCGGUGAAGGAUGUGCUCGCGGCCUAUCAGCUUGUUGGUGGGGUAAUGGCCUACCAAGGCUUCGACGGGUAGCCGGCCUGAGAGGGUGACCGGCCACGCUGGGACUGAGACACGGCCCAGACUCCUACGGGGGGCAGCAGUGGGGAAGAUUGGACAAUGGGCGAAAGCCUGAUCCGGCAACGCCGCGUGAGGGAUGACGGCCUUCGGGUUGUAAACCUCUUUCAGUACCGACGAAGCGCCCUGUCGGGUGGUGACGGUAGGUACAGAAGAAGGACCGGCCAACUACGUG
rnacentral:rRNA from 1 species